GAUGAACGCUGGCGGCGUGCCUAAUACAUGCAAGUCGAGCGAACGGACGAGAAGCUUGCUUCUCUGAUGUUAGCGGCGGACGGGUGAGUAACACGUGGAUAACCUACCUAUAAGACUGGGAUAACUUCGGGAAACCGUAGCUAAUACCGGAUAAUAUUUUGAACCGCAUGGUUCAAAAGUGAAAGACGGUCUUGCUGUCACUUAUAGAUGGAUCCGCGCUGCAUUAGCUAGUUGGUAAGGUAACGGCUUACCAAGGCAACGAUGCAUAGCCGACCUGAGAGGGGGACCGGCCAAACUGGAACUGAGACACGGCCCAGACUCCUACGGGAGGCAGCAGUAGGGAAUCUGCCGCAACGGGCGAAAGCCUGACGGAGCAACGCCGCGUGAGUGAUGAAGGUCUUCGGAUCGUAAAACUCUGUUAUUAGGGAAGAACAUAUGUGUAAGUAACUGUGCACAUCUGGACGGUACCUAAGCAGAAAGCCACGGUUAACUACGU
rnacentral:rRNA from 1 species